GCCGCGUGAAUGACGAAGGUCUUCGGAUUGUAAAAUUCUGUCUUUGGGGAAGAAAGAAAUGACGGUACCCAAGGAGGAAGCCCCGGCUAACUACGUGCCAGCAGCCGCGGUAAUACGUAGGGGGCAAGCGUUGUCCGGAAUUACUGGGCGUAAAGGGCGUGUAGGCGGUAUGAUAAGUCAGAUGUGAAAGUUCGGGGCUCAACCCCAAAAUUGCAUUUGAAACUGUCAUACUUGAGUACUGGAGAGGUAAGCGGAAUUCCUAGUGUAGCGGUGAAAUGCGUAGAUAUUAGGAGGAACACCAGUGGCGAAGGCGGCUUACUGGACAG
rnacentral:rRNA from 1 species